rnacentral:lncRNA from 1 species
AUUCUCAUCCAAACAGUGCGGACAACCUUUAGUUCUAUGUGAAACUCAGGGUGGGAAACUGAGCACAGCUGUGCUGAGCAACCCGUCUGCCGGUGCCUGGACACGACACGGCUGCACCUUUGCUGGGCACAAGAAAGGACCAAAACAGCCGAACAAAGGAAAUUUGUACAUCUAAACAGUGACUGCUGAAGACAGAAAGAACCAUAACCACAGAAAAUGGUGAGCUUGGGGAUAGCAGUACAGCUGGAUCGGUUUUCAUCAUGCAGAGCGCUGCCAGCAGGUUACAGUGAGCUGAGCCUGGGAGGGCUGGGUGCCCGCAGGGGCACUUCGAGAAUGAAAAGCGCGUGGAUAAUCCAGGCGGUGAUUGCUUCCUUCCUCCGGCUUUCGGUGGAAUGUCGAGCUGUGUCCCAGCGAGAGCCACUCGAGCACAAGAUGAGCCAGAUGGCAGGAGCAGCAGAAACCAAAGGAGGAGCAUGAAGUGUUUAAGAAUCAGAUUGCUAAAAUGCAGGGAAAACUGAAGCCAAAAACUAGGCCUGGACAAAACAGAGCACCAGAGUGGAAAAACAAGAACAGGAGAAAUGUAGCCAAAAGGCAAAAGAAUAAAAUACAACAGCUC